ensembl:lncRNA
AAAACAAUAUAAUUUCCCCCCCCAAAAAAUCAUCCAAUCUAUCUCAGUAUUUGUAUUAUUCAUUGUAUGCCGUCUUUUUUGCUCAUCUUCAUCAAGAGUGCAGAUCAUUUCGGAUAUGACUCUACAUCUGGAUCGACCCAUCUGCUUGAUAUACGUUAUCCUAGCAAGAAAGCCAAACACCCCUCUCAGGAUGUUUGAGAAUGGUAUGUUCAAGUGUAAUUGUUGUCAUGUAGUCAACAGAAGCUGUCUCUUAGAUCGGAUCAAUUUUCUGCACAGGGCUGCUCAGAUUCUGUCAUUUUUAACAUGAUAUGAGACGUGUGAUGAUGAAUUAUCCCCCGGAGGAAGAACUAGUGCUGAAUGUUCUAGAAACUCUGUCCAUCACCAUAAUGUAUCAAGGAGAGCUCCUGGUGUUGUAGGAGCACUGAGAAUGAACGAGAAUGUCUGUCAUUCUGUGGGAAAAGGAAAUGCUUGGCAUGCUAGGGCAAGAUGUGUGUGUGUUGUCCUCCUUUUCAGUAUGUCUGUAUGUUCUCAGAGAGGGGAUGCUAGUCCAUCUGUGGUAAGAGAUGCAUUGAGAUGUGGUGGAUAUCUGUACCAGACACUGCUAUCACCACACACACACACACACACACACACACACACACACACACACACACACACACACAAAGGACAGAGCUCUGUAACAAAGGAAGGCUGACAAAGAGGAAGUGCAUACAUUAUUCUCUAGCUUAUCUAGCAUGCUAUGUUCUUUUUAUACCCUCUGGUAAAGUAGUCUCUCUUAUUUUUUAUUUAACCUUUAUUUAACUAGGCAAGUCAGUUAAUAACAAAUUAUUAUUUACAAUUUCCUGGCCUACACCGGCCAAACCCGGACAAUGCUGGGCCAAUUGUGCACCGCCCUAUGGGACUCCCAAUCACGGCCGGUUGUGAUACAGCCUUGAUUCAAACCUGGAUGUCUGUAGUGACGCCUCUAGCACUGAGAUGCAGUGCCUUAGACCACUGCGCCAGGUGAAAACUGUGCCCAUUUGUGUUCACGUAACUUUAUCCAACAGAUGCCUUUGGUUGGGGCACCAUGCCAGAUUAUUUUGUCAUUCAACAACACUACUUAUUGUUGCCAAGACAAGACAGACACUUUGACUAAAAUAGAUACAGACUGGCACCGGUAGGAGAAUAUUGAUUUUCAGCCUUGCUCUUCUCUUGGUCAGAUGACAGUGGUUUAGUAUGAAGAUAUGCAGAAACUGCUUCUCCAAUAGAAAUCUCUGGUCACGCUUGUAGGCGAUGUCAUGGCAAUAGUUGGCUAGCUAAACUCAUGCAGAGAAACACGUCACCAGGUCCAACGGUCGUCUUGCACCUAACUGCACAUGCGCAGACCAUCAAAUCAAAGGAACUCCUUCGAUAUAAAGCAGUUUUUUACGAUUGCUUACACACUAAAAAUGAACUUUUCCCAACAAUUAGCAAAACCUUACACUCAAGGAGCAAAACACAAGGCUAGAUUUGCACAACUGUACGCACAUUGUCAGCUUCACACUAUUUGCAAAACAUUACACACAGUGAUUUGUAAAACACUAAACACACUUGUAUACAUCAGACACAGAAGUAUAUCAUGAUGUCACUUCCUUGCAAUUCCAAAGCACUGACUGUCAAAUUACCACACCUAUGAGCCAAUCUGUUAAACACAGCCAUCAGGUGCACAAACACAUGACUGCUAAAUUGUAGACACACCAGUCAGGUUUAAGCACUAUACAAAUGCAGCAGGUAGGUUCACCUGCCUUCAACCAAAAUGGAAGGAGUCAGAAGAAGAGUGAGGGUGAGAGGAGGAGUACGGAGAAGGAGGUAGAGGUAGAGGAAGAGGCCGAGCCAGAGGUCGAGGAAGACCUGAAGCAGGAGGAGAACGUGUACAAAGAAGAAGAGGACCAAACUUAUCAAAUGACACUCGUGCAACACUAGUGGACCAUGUUGUGAACCACGGAUUGACGCUGAGGGAGGAUGGACUGAGAGUUCAGCCAAAUCUUAGCAUAAGGACUUUUCGACAGGAAAACAGGUAAAGUGUUUUAGGUUAGUCAUCAGCCGCUUACUGUAUGCACCAUAUCAGCACUUGUGAUAUCCCUUCCUGUGACAUUGUACAGUAAGUUACAUGUAUUAUUCUCUACAUAGGAUUGAGGGUCGGGAACGACAAGGAAGAAGGGGGACCAUAUUCACGCAAGAACAAGAGAGAGAUAAUAAACAUGGUUUUGGCCAAUAAUGCUAUCAGGCUCAGAGAACUACAAGACAACAUUAUCGGUGACCAUGCCAUUUUCAAUAAUGUCCAUCAGGUCUCUCAGUCAACACUGGCACGCAUCCUGAAAAGGCAUCAGGUUCAAAUGAAACAACUUUAUCGAGUGCCUUUUGAGCGGAGUUCAGAGAGGGUCAAACGGCUGUGGCAUGAGUAUGUGGAGGGAGUUUUGCAGAUGGAUGCUGAGGAAAUCCUGCAUGAAUUCAUAUAUAUUGAUGAGGCAGGGUUCAACCUCACAAAAGCAAGAAGGAGAGACAGAAAUAUCAUUGGCCACAGAGCUAUAAUCAAUGUCCCAGGGCAACGUGGGGGUAACAUCACCCUUUGCGCUGCCAUUUCACAGCAUGGGGUUGUCCUCCGUCAUGCCAAAAUGAGCCCUUACAACACACCUCACAUUCUCGCAUUUUUGGACCGACUGCACCACAUCGUCACAGCAGGUAAUGAAAUGCACCAGAUGCAAUACACGGUCAUCUGGGACCAUGUCAUUCCACCGCUCUGCUUUGGUCCAGAACUGGUUUCAACACCAUCCAUAGUUGACAGUACUAUACCUUCCACCAUACUCUCCGUUUCUAAACCCUGUCGAAGAGUUGUUCUCUGCAUGGCGGUGGAAGGUUUACGAUCUCCAGCCCCGGGCUCAGGUACCCCUCAUUCAGGCCAUGGAGGACGCUUGUGACCAAGUCGACGCCGCAGCAGUGCAAGGAUGGAUUCGACAUUCAAGUCGGCUCUUCCCGCGUUGUCUUGCUUUUGACGAUAUUGCUUGUGAUGUUGAUGAAAUUCUCUGGCCAGAUCCAGCUAGGCGAAGAGAUAAUGUAUAGUAUGUUUACUGUAGUAUUUUCUGUACAAUAUUUCUUUCUUUUUUUCAGAUUAUUUUUUGUUUGUUAGUUACUGUAAUUGUAACCUGUACUGGAUACAGUAGUUUACGUUUGUC